CAAGCAUCAUUAUUCUUCAAACCUGGUGCAUGGCACAAAGGGGACUACACUUCUCAGCAAUGUUCAAACCUCUGCCACCGUUAUUGGGACCGUCUUAGCUGCUACCUUUCUACAUGAGAUGAUCUACACAUCAAGCUUGUUAGGUGCUAUUGUUGUGAUUUCUGGUUUGUAUAUGGUGAUAUCGGGUCAAGCUUCAGACCAACAGGAGAUCAAACAAGGGGCAAAUUUUGUGCCACAAGCUGACGGGACAAAUAUUCAGCAAGGUUCUAUGGAUGGAUCUUCAGGAAAUAACAUCUGUAAAAAACAUUUGGAAGAGCCACUUCUAUAUGAAAAACUCCCUAAUGUGGACAAAGUGUGAUGAAUCUGAAUGACAUCCUCAAAGUUAGUUUUUUUCCUUUCGGAGAUACAAAUUUCAUGUCGAAAUAUCCUAGUGCCAUGCUUCACUCAGGUUCCAUCUUCAGAACAACUCUUCUGUGGUUACUUUCUGAAAUUGUGAUGUUCCCCGUCUCAUUAGAGUUUUAUAUAGAACAAAGUAAAUCCCCUGAUAAAUAGAUGACACAUACACGAGCAAUCGAAGACAGAGAGAACGGAUUUCAGAACUCAUAUUAUAGCCAACCCGAAAAGGUAACACCAUAUUGAACUCUGUUCAUUUUUUAAGUCUUCAGUGUUUAUAUUGAUUGACAUCACAUUUCAACUAUAAAAAUCCUCCUAAUUAUUGAAGUUUUA